rnacentral:rRNA from 1 species
UGGGGAAUAUUGCGCAAUGGGCGGAAGCCUGACGCAGCGACGCCGCGUGGGGGAUGACGGCCUUCGGGUUGUAAACCUCUUUCAGCGCCGAAGAAGCGGAAGUGACGGUAGGCGCAGAAGAAGCACCGGCUAACUACGUGCCAGCAGCCGCGGUAAUACGUAGGGUGCAAGCGUUGUCCGGAAUUAUUGGGCGUAAAGAGCUCGUAGGCGGCUUGUCGCGUCGGAUGUGAAAUCCCGGGGCUCAACCCUGGGUCUGCAUUCGAUACGGGCAGGCUAGAGUUCGGUAGGGGAGACUGGAAUUCCUGGUGUAGCGGUGAAAUGCGCAGAUAUCAGGAGGAACACCGGUGGCGAAGGCGGGUCUCUGGGCCGAUACUGACGCUGAGGAGCGAAAGCGUGGGGAGCGAACAGG